rnacentral:rRNA from 1 species
UACGAAGGGGGCUAGCGUUGUUCGGAAUUACUGGGCGUAAAGCGCGCGCAGGCGGUUCUUUAAGUCAGGGGUGAAAGCCCAGAGCUCAACUCUGGAACUGCCCUUGAAACUAGAGAACUUGGGUACGGGAGAGGUGAGUGGAAUUCCGAGUGUAGAGGUGAAAUUCGUAGAUAUUCGGAAGAACACCAGUGGCGAAGGCGGCUCACUGGACCAUAACUGACGCUGAGGCGCGAAAGCUAGGGGAGCAAACAGG